ACGGGAGGCAGCAGUGGGGAAUAUUGCACAAUGGGGGAAACCCUGAUGCAGCAACGCCGCGUGAAGGAUGAAGGCCUUUGGGUCGUAAACUUCUGUCCUUGGGGAAGAUAAUGACGGUACCCUUGGAGGAAGCCCCGGCUAACUACGUGCCAGCAGCCGCGGUAAUACGUAGGGGGCAAGCGUUAUCCGGAAUUAUUGGGCGUAAAGAGUACGUAGGUGGUUUUGUAAGCGUAAGGUGAAAGCCCGGGGCUUAACUCCGGCGAGCCUUACGAACUGCAAGACUUGAGUGCAGGAGGGGAAAGUGGAAUUCCUAGUGUAGCGGUGAAAUGCGUAGAUAUUAGGAGGAACACCGGUGGCGAAGGCGACUUUCUGGACUGUAACUGACACUGAGGUACGAAAGCGUGGGGAGCAAACAGGAUUAGAUACCCUGGUA
rnacentral:rRNA from 1 species